rnacentral:rRNA from 1 species
AACGUAGGGGGCAAGCGUUGUCCGGAAUUACUGGGCGUAAAGGGCGUGUAGGCGGUUCAAGAAGUCAGGGGUGAAAUACCGCAGCUCAACUGCGGGGCUGCCUCUGAAACCAUUGGGCUUGAGGACAGGAGAGGGGAGUGGAAUUCCAUGUGUAGCGGUGAAAUGCGUAGAUAUCGGGAGGAACACCAGUAGCGAAGGCGGCCAUCUGGCUGAUAACUGACGCUGAGGUGCGAGAGCGUGGGGAGCAAACAGG